rnacentral:rRNA from 1 species
UACGUAGGGUGCAAGCGUUGUCCGGAAUUAUUGGGCGUAAAGAGCUCGUAGGCGGUUUGUCGCGUCUGCUGUGAAAACCCGAGGCUCAACCUCGGGCCUGCAGUGGGUACGGGCAGACUAGAGUGCGGUAGGGGAGAUUGGAAUUCCUGGUGUAGCGGUGGAAUGCGCAGAUAUCAGGAGGAACACCGGUGGCGAAGGCGGCUCACUGGCUCAUUACUGACGCUCAGGCGCGAUAGCGUGGGGAUCAAACAGG